rnacentral:lncRNA from 1 species
UAGAAUAUAGUGAGGACUACUAUAGCCAUCAUCUCGGACCAUCACUUCAUUUCCCGACUAGUCCCAGCUAUAUAUUCUAAUUUCCUGAAGAGAACAGUGAAAGAAAAGGGUGAGCUCAACUAGCCUAGUAAGAAAUAUUAUGACUAAGAUAAUGCAGAAUAAGUUAUCGUUAGCCUUCAACAAUGUUAAACUGAUAGAAUAUAAUAGACAACAAGUUUAACUGUAGCGGAACAAGCAAUCCAUUAGAAG